rnacentral:rRNA from 1 species
AGCGAACGCUGGCGGCAGGCUUAACACAUGCAAGUCGAGCGGGCAUCUUCGGAUGUCAGCGGCAGACGGGUGAUUAACACGUGGGAACGUACCCUUCGGUUCGGAACAACUCUGGGAAACUGGAGCUAAUACCGGAUACGCCCUUAUGGGGAAAGGUUUACUGCCGAAGGAUCGGCCCGCGUCUGAUUAGCUAGUUGGUGGGGUAACGGCCUACCAAGGCGACGAUCAGUAGCUGGUCUGAGAGGAUGAUCAGCCACACUGGGACUGAGACACGGCCCAGACUCCUACGGGAGGCAGCAGUGGGGAAUAUUGGACAAUGGGCGCAAGCCUGAUCCAGCCAUGCCGCGUGAGUGAUGAAGGCCUUAGGGUUGUAAAGCUCUUUUGUCCGGGACGAUAAUGACGGUACCGGAAGAAUAAGCCCCGGCUAACUUCGUG